AUGCACGCUGGCGGCGUGCCUCAUACAUGCCAGUCGCGCGAACAGACGAGGAGCUUGCUCCUCUGACGUUAGCGGCGGACGGGUGAGUAACCCGUGGAUAACCUACCUAUAAGACUGGGAUAACUUCGGGAAACCGGAGCUAAUACCGGAUAAUAUAUUUAACCGCAUGGUUCAAUAGUGAAAGACGGUUUUGCUGUCACUUAUAGAUGGAUCCGCGCCGCAUUAGCUAGUUGGUAAGGUAACGGCUUACCAAGGCAACGAUGCGUAGCCGACCUGAGAGGGUGAUCGGCCACACGGGAACUGAGACACGGUCCAGACUCCUACGGGAGGCAGCAGUAGGGAAUCUUCCGCAAUGGGCGAAAGCCUGACGGAGCAACGCCGAGUGAGUGAUGAAGGUCUUCGGAUCGUAAAACUCUGUUAUUAGGGAAGAACAAAUGUGUAAGUAACUAUGCACGUCUUGACGGUACCUAAUCAGAAAGCCACGGCUAACUACGUG
rnacentral:rRNA from 1 species